UCACCUGUUCCCAUCCCGAACACAGUAGUUAAGCUCUUUAGCGCCGAUGGUAGUUGGGGGUUUCCCCCUGUGAGAGUAGGACGUUGCCAAGC
rnacentral:rRNA from 1 species